rnacentral:rRNA from 1 species
GGCCUAUCAGCUUGUUGGUGGGGUAAUGGCCUACCAAGGCGACGACGGGUAGCCGGCCUGAGAGGGCGACCGGCCACACUGGGACUGAGACACGGCCCAGACUCCUACGGGAGGCAGCAGUGGGGAAUAUUGCACAAUGGGCGAAAGCCUGAUGCAGCGACGCCGCGUGAGGGAUGACGGCCUUCGGGUUGUAAACCUCUUUCAGCAGGGAAGAAGCGAAAGUGACGGUACCUGCAGAAGAAGCGCCGGCUAACUACGUGCCAGCAGCCGCGGUAAUACGUAGGGCGCAAGCGUUGUCCGGAAUUAUUGGGCGUAAAGAGCUCGUAGGCGGCUUGUCACGUCGGGUGUGAAAGCCCGGGGCUUAACCCCGGGUCUGCAUCCGAUACGGGCAGGCUAAGUGUGGUAGGGGAGAUCGGAAUUCCUGGUGUAGCGGUGAAAUGCGCAGAUAUCAGGAGGAACACCGGUGGCGAAGGCGGAUCUCUGGGCCAUUACUGACGCUGAGGAGCGAAAGCGUGGGGAGCGAACAGGAUUAGAUACCCUGGGUAGUCCACGCCGUAAACGUUGGGAACUAAGGUGUUGGCGACAUUCCACGUCGUCGGUGCCCGCAGCUAACGCAUUAAAGUUCCCCGCCUGGGGAGUACGG